rnacentral:rRNA from 1 species
UACGAAGGUGGCAAGCGUUGUUCGGAUUUACUGGGCGUACAGGGAGCGUAGGCGGUUCGGUAAGCCCUUUGUGAAAUCUCCAGGCUUAACCUGGAAAAGGCGGAGGAGACUGCCGGGCUAGAGGGCGGGAGAGGAGCGCGGAAUUCCCGGUGUAGAGGUGAAAUGCGUAGAGAUCGGGAGGAAGGCCGGUGGCGAAGGCGGCGCUCUGGAACGUUUCUGACGCUGAGGCUCGAAAGCGUGGGGAGCAAACAGG